UACGUAGGUGGCAAGCGUUGUCCGGAUUUAUUGGGUUUAAAGGGUGCGUAGGCGGCCCUGUAAGUCAGUGCUGAAAUAUCCCGGCUUAACCGGGAGGGUGGCAUUGAUACUGCAGGGCUUGAGUACAGAUGAAGUAGGCGGAAUUGACGGUGUAGCGGUGAAAUGCAUAGAUAUCGUCAAGAACACCGAUAGCGAAGGCAGCUUACUAAGCUGUAACUGACGCUAAGGCACGAAAGUGUGGGGAUCAAACAGG
rnacentral:rRNA from 1 species